AUUAGAAGGCGGAGGCGCUUGGCGCGCGGACUGGAGAGGGGACUCCGCGCUGGCCCUGCUGCCUGGGGCGCCCCCGCCUUCCCCGCCAGGACCCGCGUGAAUCCGAGUGGAGCGUCGAUCUCUGCGGACAGAAGCCGGGAGGCUGCCCCGGAGGAGGCUCGUGCAGCUGCCGUUCGCGGGUCCGGUCCUGGGCAUGUGACCUGCUGACUGACAAGAUACCUCGUUUUACAUACACAAUCCUGCCACUGAAAUGAGCUACACACACUCCUUUUGAGAGCAGAAAAGGGAUUUUAAACACUCAAGGAUACAUCCAAAAAAAAAGAAAGCAGAAGAAAGAAAACAGAAGAAAGCAGAAGAUCCAUUCAGAUUCAAAUUCUGAUCCCUCUGCACAGUCAUGGGUGGGGCCUUCCCUCCUCCUCACUCUCCUAGCCGUCACCUGCUGAAACAAAGAGAGAGAACCGGUCAGAGCCUGAGACAGGAAAGGAGUUCCCUUCUCAAGGGCAGCACAGAGGGACUCCUCUGAUCACAGAAGAACCACGAAGCCGCCCUGCUCUGGGUGACUGAGUCCUGGGGAGAGACGGCAGGCAGAGCCCUUGCUGUGUCCCUCUAAGGUCUCAAGCCAGCAGCAACCUGGCCUGCUCCCAAGGGUUUCUGCCCGCCUGACAAGAUCAUCGGAGGGGGCUCUGCUCCGUGUGCCAACAGUGAGAGAGAUUCGGUUGCCGAGUACGUGGGACGGGGCCUUCUCAGUCAUGGCCCCCAGGCUUUGGAGUGCUUUCCUGGUUGGCGUCCGCUCCUCCUUGACAGUUUUUAGGGACAGAGUAACUGGGCUCUUCACCUGGGCUUUUGAAUGAAAAGUAUUGUUUGACUACUGCCACUUUGUGUUUUAUGUAUUAUUGUUUUUUAAUGGAUCAUUAAAUGUUAUUUAUAUUCUU